rnacentral:rRNA from 1 species
UACAGAGGGUGCGAGCGUUGUCCGGAAUCACUGGGCGUAAAGGGCGCGUAGGUGGCGCGACAAGUCAGUGGUGAAAGCUCGACGCUCAACGUCGAGUCGGCCACUGAUACUGUCGGGCUCGAGCACUGUAGAGGCAGAUGGAAUUCCGGGUGUAGCGGUGGAAUGCGUAGAGAUCCGGAAGAACACCGGUGGCGAAGGCGGUCUGCUGGGCAGUUGCUGACACUGAGGCGCGACAGCGUGGGGAGCAAACAGG